AAUCAAUGAGCUUUUGGCAGCAGUCCACUUCAUUUCAUACGAUAUCGAGUAAUUCUGUGAGCAUGAUGUCGAUAGACACUCUAGCCUUCAUUUUAAUUACUCAAUGCUUAAUUUCUUUUUGUAGAGUGGUGAAUAUAAAUCCAAUUCAGUGUGGAACCCGAGACAACAAGCAGAAUACUGUACAUUAGGAUUAUUACAGGGAACAAUUUUUAAAAAGAUUGAGCAUGCACAGAAGAGGGUGUGUUUGACCGUCUAUAGUCCAUGUGACAUAAGCCUGUGUCAAUUGUGACGUCAGAUAUUUAAUAAGAUGAAGUGUUUACAAAUUGAUGGAAAAGAUUCAGUGAUGGCGUCGGGACCAUCUGAGUUUGGACAGUGGAUGGGGUACACCCGAAAGCGAAUGGCCUGCAAUCGGAGCUCCGAGCCCCUCCCCACUUGGACAAUGUGAUUGAGAGGACGGAAUUUGAACUGUUGAUGACGUCAUCGGAUGCAAACAAGGUUCUGUUUUGUUGAUUCAAAGCUGGAUUGAUGUGAACCACCAAGCCAAAUACGGUAACUCUUCUGAAGAGCAUGCGCAGUUACCGAUGAAUAAUGAGCAAUUCGAAAAAACAUUCAUAUUCAUGCCGUUUUAAUAACUAUAACUGAACACCGAUCCAUUGAAAAAGUUACGAUUACGUAACAUCGCGUUAUUACUGGAAGUGCUGCAGUCAACGAAUUUGUGAACAAUACCGCGCUGAUGACAGCCAGUCACACGAUAGUGUGGUGUGCCCCGAGUGCUUGAGGUUAACGAAUACGGGCACAAGAUUAAAAUACUCUUAAUGUGAAUUUAUAAACAGAAAAUUAAUGUGUGAGAGUUACUAUACGACAUACGCUAUACAAUACUGUAUCAAUCACUACACUAAACGUAGGCCUACUUUCCGGUAACGCAUGCGCAUUAGUCAACGGCGAUAAGACACACCCAUUCAUUACAGGUCAUUUCUGCUUGUUUUUCCACAUAUAAAUUGCACAUAUAAAUUGUGAUACCUGUGGAUAAACCUAAUCACGCUGAGCAAAAAUUCAAACCAUUUCACCUGUUGAGUGAAUUGUUACAACAGGGUAAUGAGAACCAAAAGCGCUUGCAAUGUACAGUAAAUACAGGCGUAUCCAAAGAAAUAGAGCUGCAUAGCUUGGUGAAUAAGAUGCUUGUUGCCUUCCAAUCACAGGGUAGAUUGUUGUCUUGGUUGCUCACUGUUACAAAUCCUUGUCCAAUGUG